rnacentral:lncRNA from 10 species
CGGAGGGGAGGAAUGCGGCAGGCGGAAAACUUAGGAAGAGCUGGAUGCCUCCCACGGAGAGCGUCCCUUCCAAGCGGCCCCGGAGUGGAGUGGAGUGGAGUGGAUAGGGGUAGACUUUUCACACGGGGACAAAUUAUUACAGGAUAUCUGCGCCCCCUGUUCCGAGUCACUCGGGGCCAUCGGUUACUUCAGCAGGUUCUCUGCAUCACGGACCCUUUUGAGGCUCAGCCGCCGCCGCCCGACCGCCGGGAGGAUGGAGUUCAGCGGGCAGCGGAGCUGUCUCAGUCUUU